ACAAAUAUGUCGGAAUUGGUAGACGAGCCUCACUUAGGAUGAGGUGCCAUCACUGGUUUAAGGGUUCGAGUCCCUUUAUUUGUA
rnacentral:tRNA from 1 species